rnacentral:rRNA from 1 species
AUUGAACGCUGGCGGCAGGCCUAACACAUGCACGUCGAACGAGUGGCGGACGGGUGAGUAAUGUCUGGGCAACUGCCUGAUGGAGGGGGCUAACUACUGUAAACGGUAGCUAAUACCGCAUACCAUCAGAUGUGCCCAGCUGGGAUGCGCUUGUUGGUGGGGUAACGGCUCCCCAAGGCGACGAUCCCUAGCUGGUCUGAGAGGAUGACCAGCCACACUGGAACUGAGACACGGUCUAGACUCCUACGGGAGGCAGCAGUGGGGAAGAUUGCACAAGGGGCGCAAGCCUGAUACAGCCAUGCCGCGUGUAUGAAGAAGGCCUUCGGUUUGUAAAGUACUGUCAGCUGGGAGGCGUUACCCGCAGAAGAAGCACCGGCUAACUCCGUGCCAGCAGCCGCGGUAAUUC